rnacentral:rRNA from 1 species
AGUGAACGCUGGCGGUAGGCCUAACACAUGCAAGUCGAACGGCAGCACAGUAAGAGCUCGCUCUUACGGGUGGCGAGUGGCGGACGGGUGAGGAAUACAUCGGAAUCUACUUUUUCGUGGGUGAUAACGUGGGGAAACUUACGCUAAUACCGCAUACGACCUACGGGUGAAAGCAGGGGAUCUUAGGACCUUGCGCGAUUGUAUGAGCCGGUUGCGGGUUAGUUAGUUGGCGGGGUAAAGGCCCACCAAGGCGACGAUCCGUAGCUGGUCUGAGAGGAUGAUCAGCCACACGGGAGCUGAGACGCGGCCCAGGCUCUGACGGGAGGCAGAGGUGGGUAAUAUAGGAAAAAGGGGGGAAGCCUGAUCCAGCCAUGCCAGGUUGGUGAAGAAGGCCUGCGGGUUGUAAGGCCGUUUUGGUGUGAAAGAAAAGCAUUAGCUUAAAACCCCGCAGUUCGACCGUUACCGAAGGAAUAGGCACCGGCUAACAUGGU